CAACAUGUACAUGUGGCAGGGCCAAAUUGAACUUGUAGUUUUUACUGUAUUGCUUUUAGUGUUUAGGUAUAGGUGUAGCUCCCCUGAAUAAAUCACCCCUUUUUAUUAGAUGUCCCCUACCCUUUCAUAGAAGUGUGUACCCCUGAUUAACUUUUCCCUCUUCCCCAGUAACAUGACCCCUUAGAACAUAGCCCCUUUGAUAAGACCCUGUAAGUCCACAGCCCCUCACUUAGCAGACCAGCGGCAGUAGAGAGAGGACUGUGUAUUAUAUAUCCACUCUUCCCCUUUUCUUGGGAGCGCCUGCCCUGUGUGUUUAUCUGCUCAAGUCACAUCCUGGUUUCAGUCAGAGUGCAUUUAAGGUCCAUUAUUUUGACGCUCUGUGUUGGUUUUUCUUUUCGUCUUCUUUAGUUUUUUUAGGUUGGGUUUAUUUACUUUUCAUUUCCAAUUACUUUUUGUUUCCAAUUUGAUUUUUUUUUCCAAAGUUAUUAAUUUCUGGUUUUGUUUUCCCAAAAGGUUUUUUUUUUGUCACAUUUCAAGGUGUUUUUGUGUGAAUGUAAAACUUGCAGUUAAUCGUGGAUUAAAUUGUUUUUUUGUAAAGUUCCAUCCCAAUUCAGUCUGUCUCUUUUCUUUUUUUUAAAUUUGUCCCAGUUUUCUAUUAAAUUUUUCGCGACUUAUCAAUUUGAA